CCUACGGGAGGCAGCAGUGAGGAAUAUUGGUCAAUGGACGAGAGCCUGAUCCAGCCAAGUAGCGUGAAGGAUGACUGCCCUCUGGGCUGUAAACUUCUUUUAUAAGGGAGUAAAUGGAGGCACGUGUGCCUUUAUGCAUGUACUUUAUGAAUAAGGAUCGGCUAACUCCGUGCCAGCAGCCGCGGUAAUACGGAGGGUCCGAGCGUUAUCCGGACUUAGUGGGUUUAACGGGAGCGUAGAUGGGUUGUUAAGUCAGUUGUGAAAGUUUGCGGCUUAACCGUAAAAUUGCAAUUGAUACUGGGAGUCUUGAGUACAGUUGAGGUAAGCGGAAUUCGUGGUGUAGCGGUGAAAUGCUUAGAUAUCACGAAGAACCCCGAUUGCGAAGGCAGCUUACUAAACUGUGACUGACAUUGAGGCUCGAAAGUGUGGGGAGCAAACAGGAUUAGAUACCCCUGUAGUC
rnacentral:rRNA from 1 species